GCGAGUAUUCAGACCCCUCUAGCGAAUUUUUUUUAAACAAGCGACUAGCGACAAAUCUAGCGACGUUUUCUGGUGUUAUUGGAGACUUUUGGAGACUCGAACGUGAAAACACACGUCGUUCUGCAUUUACUUUCCUCAACGAGCAGCGGGUCCUGCCGUGAGCCCCUCCGCCGUCCCAAAGCACGAGCGGUCAGUAUCACAGUCAGUGUUGCCAGAUUGGGCGGGAUUCCACCAAAGUGGGCGGAUUUGGUUGGAAAACACACUUUCGCAGGUGGACAAAUUUUGGGCUGGUUUGUAAUCAUUUUGGCGGCUUAAAAUGUAAAUAAAAAAACUAUUGCUUUCUAAAGCAGGUGGAAUAUAAAUAGGUCUACCUUCUCCCACCACAUCCAACCCGUUGUCAAAAGUUUGAUUGACAGGUUAUUCUCUCCAGUCCAAGACACUGUUGCCACGCCCAUCAAUACAGUGAUUCAUAUGUUAGACAAGUGAUUGGAGUUGAAUAUGAAGCACUACUGAAUGGCCCAACAGCAGCUCUUGCAGUCCUGUGAUUUGAACUCUCAACUGAAAAACACUUUCAUAUUCUCCUGCUUAAAACGACCGAUGUGGGCUGUAUUUGGUCAUGGUGCAUUAGGAACACCAUGGGAUGUAUGGGGUGCUCCUCUUCAGCACAGAGACUUCGGACGCACCUUUGGAAACAGCUGUGAUGAAAAAAAAAACACAGAUAUUAGACAUAAUAAAUAAAAUUUAUUCUAUAACAUGAAA